rnacentral:lncRNA from 1 species
UUUGGCCAAUUUGGGUGGGGUUUUUUCCUACAAGUCACAUUUGAUCCCCUCUUUCCAAAAAUGUAACUUUCAUGUACCAAAACCUUAUGGAUCAAAAUGGCAUUUUUUGACUUACUUGAAUUAAUUUCAAGUGAAGUGAAAUUUUGACUUUUUAAAAUAACCAUUUGUAAUCACUUUGGCCAUUGGAAUAUGUUCAGAAAUGACAUUUGAGACUUGUUGGAAGCCCAUUUUCGUGCAGUACACACACCCAUCACCAACUUGCUUGAAA